GAAAACAGGCCUAGAGAGGAGAAAUGACAACAAAGCUGUAGCAAAGCUGCCCUGGUUGACCUACAAAUCCAGCAUUGAGAAAUACACGAUCUCUGCUUAAACGCCACCUCUUUGGAGCUGGCAGGAGCCUGGUGUGCACCACGCCAGUCGAGUUCAGCAACAGGUUCAAGAGUUCCUCUGUGACCAGAAGAACAGUGAUCAAGACAACCUGCCAGAAAAACUUGCAGCCUUUAAAGAGAAGUACAUGGAGCCUGACCUCAACAAUGAGGGCGAGACCGACCAUCUGAUGUCUUUAAAGAGGAUGGAAGCUUGGGGUGGACCCAAGAUCCACCUGGAAAUGAAGACUAUGAUCUCAGAGGUGACAGGCAGGGUCGGCCACACCAUCUCUUGCUGAUACUUCGUGAACAUGAGACUGUCAUGAUGUUUGAAGGAAAAGCCAAUGAGAGAAGCCCCAAGCCCGCUGGCCCCUCCAGAGAGAGACACUGCCAGUCUGCCUUGAGGACCCGCCUGGACCUGCCUCCCCCUCCUUCCUCCCCUCCCCAUCUCACUGCCGUUCUUGACUCAUUGUGAUGUCUUAUUCAAUUUUUUUUUAUUUUAAAAAUAAAUGCCACCUCUUCCAG